AGCGAACGCUGGCGGCGUGCCUAACACAUGCAAGUCGAACGAGAAAGGGAGCACUCCCAAGUAACGUGGCGUCCGGGUGAGUCACACGUAGGUAAUCUACCCCAGAAUCUGGAAUAACCGGCCGACAGGCUGGCUAAUACUGGAUAGAGCGACGGAAUCCGUACUUGGGUUUUUCGGGCAAGGGAGCCUGUAAAAAGGCCUUCGUUCUGGGAUGAGCCUGCGUCCCAUCAGCUAGUUGGUGAGGUAAAAGCUUACCAAGGCAAUGACGGGUAGCUGGUCUGAGAGGACGAUCAGCCACACUGGAACUGAAACACCGUCCAGACUCCUACGGGAGGCAGCAGUGGGGAAUCUUGCGCAAUGGACGAAAGUCUGACGCAGCAACGCCGCGUGAGUGAAGAAGGCCUUCGGGUUGUAGAGCUCUGUCGAGUGGGACGAAAAUGCUUGGAGUUCACAGCUCCAGGAACUGACGGUACCACUAAAGGAAGCACCGGCUAACUCCGUG
rnacentral:rRNA from 1 species